rnacentral:rRNA from 1 species
CCCUUAGAUGUCCUGGGCCGCACGCGCGCUACACUGAUGCAUGCAACGAGUUUAUAACCUUGGCCUGAAAGGUCUGGGUAAUCUUUUGAACGUGCAUCGUGAUAGGGAUAGAUUAUUGCAAUUGUUAAUCUUGAACGAGGAAUUCCUAGUAAACGCGAGUCAUCAGCUCGCAUUGAUUACGUCCCUGCCCUUUGUACACACCGCCCGUCGCACCUACCGAUUGAAUGGUUCGGUGAAGAUCUCGGACUUCGAUAUUUAUUCUUUAUUGAGUUUAUAUUGUGGGAAGUUAUCUAAACCUCAUCAUUUAGAGGAAAGUGAAGUCGUAACA